rnacentral:rRNA from 3 species
GGUUGACCUCGGAUCAGGUAGGAAUACCCGCUGAA